GAUGAACGCUAGCGGCAGGCCUAACACAUGCAAGUCGAGGGAGAAGCCCUUCGGGGCAGAAACCGGCGCACGGGUGCGUAACGCGUAUGCAACCUACCUUUCACAGGGGGAUAGCCCGAAGAAAUUUGGAUUAAUACCCCAUAAUAUUAUUGGAUGGCAUCAUUUGAUAAUUAAAAUUACGAUGGUGAAAGAUGGGCAUGCGUCCUAUUAGCUAGUUGGAGUGGUAACGGCACCCCAAGGCUACGAUAGGUAGGGGUCCUGAGAGGGAGAUCCCCCACACUGGUACUGAGACAGGGACCAGACUCCUACGGGAGGCAGCAGUGAGGAAUAUUGGUCAAUGGUCGGAAGACUGAACCAGCCAUGCCGCGUGCAGGAAGAAUGCCUUAUGGGUUGUAAACUGCUUUUAUAUGGGAAGAAUAAGGAGUACGCGUACUUUGANGACGGUACCA
rnacentral:rRNA from 1 species